GACCGGUUGUCCCUCGGAGUGCCCGCCACUCGGGAAACAAAAGCCAUGGGAGGUCGGCUCUCUACCCCGCGGCACAAGUUACAGCCAAAGUCCACGCGAGUGGGGGGCCAACAGACAGGCUCUCCACUGUUUCUCUUUAUUAAUGGGGAGUGGCUUGGGGUUCCCAGUGGCAGGAUUGGGACCCGGAAACUCCACCUUGACAAUCUUUUUUUGGUUUGGAGAUACCGAGAUACUGGGAAGGCCUCUCCGGGGCACCGGCUUCAAGGAGUUCAAAUAUACCUCUCUAAGUCUGUGCUGAGAGCCAAGUCCCUGAAAGCUACAGCCCAAGGUUUUAAAAAUCAGGACCAAGGAGAGAAGUUUUAGUUCACCUGUGAGAUGGAAGACACUGUGUCAUCAGAGCGUUGCUGGCGGGGAAGACGUUCUGAUCCUUCGGAAAAUGAUGGGGCAUCUCUUCAGAGACACCAGGUGUGACUCAGAACAGACUUCAGAUGGACUCAGAGGAGCUGUCACACCAGGAAGGUUGAGAACGUAACUGGAGGGUUGGCGCUGUCGGCUGCUGAGAACGAGCUGCUGCCCUUGUCACUGCGGCGAAACACCCAACGACUUACGGGAGAGAGGACUUAUUCUGGUGACAGUUUCAGGGGUACUGCUCCUCAGGUGAAUGGAUGUAUCUGUCAGUCAGUAGAGUGGGGUGUAUCUGUCAGUAUAGUGGGGUGUAUCUGUCAGUAGAGUGGGGUGUAUCUCUCUGUAGAGUGGGGUGUAUCAGUCAGUAGAGUGGGAUGUAUCUGUCAGUAGAGUGGGAUGUAUCUGUCAGUAGAAUGGGGUGUAUCUGUCAGUAAUUGUGAGAGCCGCAGGUGGCAUCUCCUCCUCACACUUUAGCAGACCAGAAAGCAAAGAAAUGGACCAGAAGCAGAGUCAAGCCCAAGACCCAUCCCCAGGGCCUAAGUCCACAGCUGGGUUCCUAGCCCCAGAGGUUCCAUAACCUCCCAAACAGCAAGCACCUCCAGUCAAAGACCAAAUGCCCCCAAACAUGAGCCUGUGGGUGGCAUUUCACAGUGGCAUCAUAGCACCCACUUCUACCUCUAGGGAGGGAAGAGGGGCCGAAGAAUGAGUCCAGUCACAUGGUUAGUAGUGAACUCCAUUGAGCUUCCCAGUUGAUGCCACGCAAUGUGAGAGGGGUCAUGCCACACACCUGGGGACAGAGCGGCCACCUCUCCUUCAGACUUCACCCAGAUUGUCUGUUUCUAAAGCUGGGCAUGGUGCACGGACCUGUUAUCCCAGCAAAGGCCCGGGAAUCAAGAGCUCAGGGCUAGCCUCCUCUAUAUAACAUGUUUAAGUCUAGCCUAGGCUACAAGAGACCCUAUCUCAAAAUAGUAACAACAAUAAGAAGACAACAAUAAGAAAAACCAAAACAACAACAACACAAAACAAGCGUGCGGCUGUUUCUAACUUGUACCAUUUACAAUAGGUUGGUGCUAAGCCUUUGCUGGGUUCUGUGAGUUGAAGCAAGUCCUCAAUUCUGAAGCGGAGUCUUGGGAACCCUGAACUGAUAGCCACACUGGUUAGGAAGAGCCCUGGGUAAACCCCUGGGAUUACCCAUGCUGGUGUGCUGUGGGCUGAGUUCCAGAUCUGCAGGGGCAAACUGCAGGUACUGUGAGAACCGAGUGUAACUGCUGGGUGCCCAGCUGGUGCUGAGGAAGUGCUGAAACACACUGGGGGUAGGGAGCACUCUCACAUUGUGUGAAAACAUUGUGAAUACUACCAGCAAGAACGUAGACCUUGAAUACCAACUAGAAGCAAUUGUGUUACUAGAACACGUGAAGGGAGAUUAACACAGUGCUUCUCAACCUAUGGGGUUUCGACCCCUCUGGGAAUUGACGAACCCUUUCACAGGGGUUAUAUAUCAGAUAGCCUGUAUAUCAGAUAUUACAUUACUACUCAUAACAGUAGCAAAAUUACAGUUAUGAAGUGGCAACACAAAUAAUUUUAUGGUUGGGGGUCACCACAACAUGAGGAACUGUAUUAAAGGGCCUCAGCAUUAGGAAGGUUGAGAGCCAGUGGAUUCAAGUAUUGACUUUUUAAAAGGUGUAUUUAUUUUAUGUGUAUGAGUGUCUUGCCUGCACAAUUGUUGGUGAACCAUGUGCAAACCUCAGCCUACAGUCUGGAGAGGAUGUCCGACCCCCUGGAACUGGAAUUAUAGAUGGGCUGUGAGCCACUCUGGUUGCUGGGAAUUGAACUCAGGUCUUCUGCAAGAGCAGUAAGUGCUCUUAACCUCUGAGCCAUCUCUCCAGCCCCAGUAGUGACAUUCAGAAUUAUUUAUUUAUUUUGUGUGCAGGUGUGUGUGAGAGGAGUCCAUCCUCUCCUUCCUCCAUUCCUGGGGAUCCAACUCAGGUCCUCAGGGUUGGCAACAGGCAUCUUUUCCUCCUGAGCCUUCUCUCCUGACCUUGACAGUUAUUUAGAGUUGUCCUUUUUUUCUCUGGCUUUUUGUUUUCUUUGAGACAGGUUUCCUCUGUGUGUCCUGGCUGUCCUGAAACUUGCUUUAUAGCCCAGGCUGGCUUUGAACUCACAGAGAUCUGCCUUCCAAGUGCUGGGAUUAAAGGCGGGCUCCACCACUGCCAGGCUGAGCUAAGCCAUUCUUCACUACACAAAUGCUACAAGGUAUACAAUAAACAACAAUGAAAACAAACAAAACCUCUCUCCUUAUUGUUCUACUGACCCAUCAAAGAUGAUGAAUCUGGUUUACACAAAAUUGUUUUGAGGUGUAGAUCUGGCUGAAGGCUUUGCUAGUCACUUGAAUUAGUGUUCUUCCAUCUGGACCCAGCCUGCCGGGAAACUUGAAACCAAAUAGCCACUGCUAUGGAGUGACUAGACUUGGCCCUCUGAGAGUAACAAGUUAUAUUUCCUCCAACAGAAAUUUUGUUUACAUCGGUUCUUUUAGAGGAAUUGAUUGUUUCCACACUUGCCCCCACCCUCCUCUCCUACAUGGUUGCCUGUUAUUCAACUUACUGAAUUUUGUUUCAGGCCAGGCUCCGACUGUACCCAGUUGAACUAAAAAUCCAAGUGGAGGCAUUCUUACUAAAGAAUGUGCCACCACACUGAAACUAGAUUGUUCUCAGACCUUUUUGAGACUCCAGGAGAGACAUAAUAAAUAGCCAUUUCUCAAAAAAAAAGACCAAUUCCAGUUGACACAUUUCCCCCUGCUCCAAUCCUCACCCCUCCCCCUGAUAAGGAGUUGAAAUAAGCUGAUAGGAAGCAAUCGCUUGGCGGUGGUGGUUUUUCUAUUACUUUGUUUCCCUGUUCCUGGUUAAAAGGAGAGUAACUUUAAACUAACCAACCCCGAGCUGGGGCUGUAGCUAGUUUGGUAGAAUGCUUUGAGUAGCACACCCCAAGCCCUGGUUCUAUCCCCAGCACCACAUAAAACCAUCUCUCUUGGCAAAUGCUUGUAAGUCCAAUAUUCAAAGAGUGGAGGCAGGGGGAUCAGAAACUAACCUCAGGUCUCAGCUGGAGCAUCCCACACUGGGAGAUGCAGGCCAGCCAGCUAUGAGACCCUGUGUACAGGCUUUUUCUUUUAGGCCACCAACCAGCUCCCAAAUCAUGACACGGAGACUUUUAUUAUUAGUUUUAAUGCUCGACCUAGCUUAGGCUCAUUUCUGGCUAGCUCUUUUAACUUUUAACCUGUUUCUCUCUUCCUACCUUUUGCCUCAGAGCUUUUUACCUUUCUUUCACUAUUCCUUGUGUCUGACUGGCCGGCUGUUGCCUGACUUCUUGUCCUCAGUGAGUCCCUCUUUCUCUCCUCCUUCCUUUCUCAUUCCUUCCUGAGCCUCGAUGUCUCCUAUUUAUUCUCUCUGCCCACUGGCCCUCCCUAUCCUUUCUCCUGCCUAGCUAUUGACCGGUCAGUUUUUUUAUUAGACCAAUCAGGUGCCUUAGGCAGACGAAGUGAAACAAGUGUAACACAUCUUUACAUAAUUAAACAGAUGCAGCAUAAACAGAAGUAACACACCUCUCCACUGUUAAAGUAAUAUUCUGCAGCAUAAACACAUGUAGCACAUCUUUGCCUAGUUAAAAGAAUAUUCCACAACAACCCUGUCUUUAAAAACGAACUAAUCUUCUCUACUCUGCCCAUCACAUUGAACCAUGUGCUCUACUUUAAGGAAUGAAAGAAUUACCAGAUUCUAGAAUCAUAAGUCAAGCCAUUUAAGAUAUGCAAGCCAAACUGUUUAAUUUUGUCCUUUCAGACAUCCUUCACUCCCACAUAGAAAGGACAUUAGAAAGUCAUACCAUGAAUAACACAGUGGCAGAAAUACUUUAAAGUCUUUAAAAAGACUUUUAGGGUACAAUAAACAGUUAAUUAUAAGGAAAUUACAUCUCUCUAGGAACAUGGAGAAAGGACUAUUCUGCAUCUUUAGGGCAUGAGCAGUCAAAGGAAGGAAAACACUUAGAUUUGGAAAACGACAAAAAGUCAAACCAACUCAUGAGGCACAACAUAGACUAAAUAUUUGCAAAGUGACCACUUUUAAAUAGGUUUUUUUGUUUGGUUGUUUUG